rnacentral:rRNA from 1 species
GGGAGCUUGCUCCCCGGGGACAGUGGCGAACGGGUGAGUACACGUGAGUAAUCUGCCCUCGAGCGGGGGAUAACUCCGCGAAAGCGGAGCUAAUACCGCAUGAAACUUUGGAGCAUAAGCUUUCAAAGUCAAAGCUUUCGGGUGCUUGAGGAUGAGCUCGCGGCCUAUUAGCUUGUUGGUAGGGUAACGGCCUACCAAGGCAACGAUGGGUAGCCGGCCUGAGAGGGUGUUCGGUCACACUGGGACUGCGACACGGCCCAGACUCCUACGGGAGGCAGCAGUGGGGAAUUUUGCGCAAUGGGCGAAAGCCUGACGCAGCGACGCCGCGUGGAGGAUGAAGGUUUUCGGAUUGUAAACUCCUGUCAGAGGUGAGGAAAGCCCUUAUGGGUCUGACGGUAACCUCAGAGGAAGCCCCGGCUAACUACGUGCCAGCAGCCGCGGUAAUACGUAGGGGGCAAACGUUGCUCGGAAUUACUGGGCGUAAAGGGUGCGCAGGUGGCUGAGAAAGUCGUUGAUGAAAUCCCGGGGCUUACCCCCGGAACUGUCUUCGAUACU